rnacentral:rRNA from 1 species
UGGGGAAUAUUGCACAAUGGGCGAAAGCCUGAUGCAGCGACGCCGCGUGAGGGAUGACGGCCUUCGGGUUGUAAACCUCUUUCAGCAGGGAAGAAGCGAAAGUGACGGUACCUGCAGAAGAAGCGCCGGCUAACUACGUGCCAGCAGCCGCGGUAAUACGUAGGGCGCGAGCGUUGUCCGGAAUUAUUGGGCGUAAAGAGCUCGUAGGCGGCUUGUCACGUCGGUUGUGAAAGCCCGGGGCUUAACCCCGGGUCUGCAGUCGAUACGGGCAGGCUAGAGUUCGGUAGGGGAGAUCGGAAUUCCUGGUGUAGCGGUGAAAUGCGCAGAUAUCAGGAGGAACACCGGUGGCGAAGGCGGAUCUCUGGGCCGAUACUGACGCUGAGGAGCGAAAGCGUGGGGAGCGAACAGGAUUAGAUACCCUGGUAGUCCACGCCGUAAACGGUGGGCACUAGGUGUGGGCAACAUUCCACGUUGUCCGUGCCGCAGCUAACGCAUUAANGCCCUUCNUGNUANAGCGGCCGCAAGGUAG